UAAUAUCACUGCCAGAAAACAGGUGAAUUAAAUUUCUAUAAAGGUUGUCUUGUAAAUGCCAGGUCACUGUGAUAAAAAUGAGUUUGCUUAGGGCAUUAUUUUUAUUCACAGCUCUGCUGAUCUUUUCAUAUUUCCUCCUCUCCUGCUCUCAAGAGACUCUCAAGCCUGUUUACCACAUCUCUCUUUUCCCUUCUCUCUUGCAGAUCUCUUAUGUGCCUGGGACUCACUUAAAGAAAAAAAUGCAAAGAGAACAGAUAGCAACAGACAAAUUUACGCAGACAUAUUUGAUGAGCUCACAAAGUCAGGGGUCCAAAACCUAAGGUUGGAUACCACCAGUAACAGAUUCAACUAUUAUCUUCUCAUCCACAACGAACAGGAAGAGGGGCCUGAAAAAGCUGGAUUGCGAUGAAGCAAGACAAGUAAACCUUGAAACAUCUACGAAUGUAUUAGAUUUUAAGAUUAUUAGUAUUAGAUUAGCAGCACUUAAACUAUUAUCAUGCAACUCAUACCAGUUUAUUGUAAUGAGUGUUACGGGUCCAGGUAACAACUCGUUACAUUGUUACAUUUUACUGUGGUGUAGACUAGGGUGUCAUCAGCUCCUUUGAGGGAUUCCCCUCUGGGCAACACUUCCGGACUGCUCAGCUGUGUUGGCGCCCCAGUCUUCCCCAUCCUUGGCUGGGCCUUCCUCUUUUCGUCAUAGGGAUCACCCACCAAUCACCAGCCUGCCUGGUCCGUCACACAAGGUGAUAAAAGCUGAUUGGGGCAAAACUCAGGGCGGCUGUGAUUUAACCUGAGCAGUCUGCCUCUGUGUCUCUCUGUUGUAAUGUUACCUUGUGUGAUAGUUUGCUCUGAAGUUAACUGUGGUCCUUUGGUGUUUGAAAUCCUGUUAACUCGAUUGAGACACUAGUUCUGUGUGUGUUCGGGACCUGGGCACUAGGCUUCUUUGUUCUCAGUUAAGAUUAGUGCAGCCCGGUAAGAUUUUAUUUAGUUUCUUUCAGCUGUUUUCAGCUGUAGUGAGUCAGUGGGGAUCUGUUGGGUUAGGAAGCGCAUUUUUGUUUUGCUUGUUUUAUGAUUUGGUGCCACCCGCAGCCCUUUCACUUUGUUCCUUGCCUCUCUUGACUCCUACUUCUGUUGGUUACUCUCUUUUGGCUUUUGAGCAGAAAGCUUGUACUGCUGUAACUUUUGUUAUUGUCAGCUCGCCAAACAAUAAAUGGCAGUGCUUGCCUGACUACACCGGCAGUGUGUUGCUUCCCUUAUUCCUAGACAUCAGCACGGUUGUAACAUAAUAGGGGCUCGUCCAGGAGCCAAACUAUUCCCAUGAACCAAAAAUCAUAAGCCAAGCUGUAUGGUGGCCGAUUGUUUUGCUUGGGUGUGCGAAUGGCACCAUUUAAUUUGGGUCAGUUCCUCCAAAAUCCUACCCUUGAGUAAAUUGAUACUUGUCAGAAGGAUGAUUUGUUAGUGAUUGCUGGCCCUUCAGUAUCCCGAUAUCAAAACAGCUGGUUAAAAGAGAGCUUAAGACUCAGGUUGUUAGUAAACUAGUUGAGUUGAUUUAGUCAAACUACACUAAAUAUGACAAAACUUUCUGUCAAAACUGAAUAUUUAAUUUGCUUAAGUAUGGAGCUAAUAGUUUUAAAAAAAGUUUUUGCAGAGGGUUGAUACUGUUCUGAGGUCCAAUCUAAAGGGUGAAGAAAUCCUCAAAGAGUAUGAGAAAACUAAAAUGCUGUCAGAUACAACAUGUAGACAGAUGGUCAACAUUUUGGUUGCAGAAAAGACGGUAAGACGGUAGGGGUAAGAAAUCAUUUAAAAUGACCAGGGAAAACACACACGGAUUGGACACAAAUGCAAUAAAUAUUUUGCUUUAAAAGGAGGAAAAGGAUUGCACCCAUAAGUGUGUGGACCAGUUAUGCCCUGGGAAUUGUGACCCUUUUCCCAUUUCUCCAAGAUCCAUACUUGUGUCUAUGUCAUUAGACCAUAUUUCUGGUUAAUAUUUGUAAUGUUUUUGGUGUGUGUGUGUGUGUGUAUGGGUGUGCAUACAUUGUGAGCAGGAACAUUACUAUGAUCCCAAGGCAAAUACUUGCUAUCUUGCUUGGAAACUCAUGACAGUCCCAUGCAACACCUGUGAUUGCUUCUGUGGGCAUUCCAGGCCUAAUUUCCAGGACAGCCCAACAACCCAACGAGAAUCUCUGUUAAUUGGUGAACAGCUCUUCAGUGAGAAGUGCAGGGAGGCUCUCUCUAUAAUUAGACACUCUACAGAUAAAUGCAUGGUUAAAGAGAAGAGGAGAGCCACCAUUGAGUACAGACAGAAGCUGGUUCAUGACCAGGAUGCAACAUCUUCAGUCUUGAAUGUCUUCCCUCGUUUCCUUGACAUGCCUGGAUUGAUAAUGAUAUGUAUAGAUUAUUUCAUAACAUUUUAAAUAUUUGAAAACUGAAUCCUUCUCUGUUUAAAGAUUGACAAGGAUUUUUACAUGAUGUUUGGGGGUGAAGUAUCUGGAAGGUUUCUUGCAACGUGACCUUCAUAUUUCAAGUACAAAGUAAUCGCAGAAUGCUAGAGCCUUCCCUCAAAUCUUAAUGUUGAGGAGCUGCAGGGAUCUUUUGACCCUGAGGCUGAGAAUGACUGUGGUAAAUAUGGAAGGUUUUUCUGUAUCCAAAAUAUACUCAGUUGCCUGUUUUAAUAAGUCACAUGUGCAACAGUGAACUAAAGCUAAAUUAGCAGCCCUGAAAUAAAUGAAUUCAUUUCUAUGGUCAUUUGAAUAUUGACUGCAGCUUCAAGAUUACCAAGAAGUUGAAUUUCCAACUGUUUAAAACAGUUUCAACAGAAACUACUCAAAAGAAGGAGUUUUUGCAGGGCUGUUGUUUUUAGACAAAUGGCAGCUGUAGUAAGCAAGAAGUUUCCAGUUUUUUGUUCUGUCUUAAAUACCAUAUUUGUCUCGAAGGCUGGGAUAGUGAUAUGUCAGCGCUCCUGUUGCUGCUGCAUCUCCCGCUCCCUACUUCAAGAGGUCAUAAAAAACAGCCAAAAGUAGCUCAGCACAGGCAGCCAACCAUCUUGUAAGAUUUGUUAAGGUAUGUAACAUCAGCUUUUUGUACUACCAAAAUCAUGAUUUAUGUGUGCUGCAGUUGUAUGUAAGAAAUAUGAGCUGCAGACUCACACAGGUUUUAAAUGUGGAGAGCAAUGAUGUCCUUCAUCUUUUUGUAUGUACCAUGGCUUCAGAAAGCACCUUAACACUGUACAGAGGCAUUACCAUGAUAGGUCGAUACUAACCAGGAAGUGGCCACACAAAGACAUUCUGAGGUGAAAUUUUCAGGUGAUCAGCCAACAACUUCUGCAUCCAUGUUGCAGGUUCCCCUUGUUACCACACAGAACUCAAUUAAUAGAACGUGCGGAUCAGUUGUUUCACACUUACCAGUGUCUGGUCUUUCUGAAA